AAUCAACGCUGGCGGCGUGCCUCAGACAUGCAAGUCGAACGAUUAAAGCUCUCUUCGGAGAGUGCAUAGAGUGGCGCACGGGUGAGUAACACGUAAGUAAUCUACCUUCGAGUGGGGAAUAACGUCCGGAAACGGACGCUAAUACCGCAUAAUGCAGCGGCAUCGCAAGAUGACAGUUGUUAAAGGAGCAAUUCGCUUGAAGAGGAGCUUGCGGCAGAUUAGCUAGUUGGUAAGGUAAUGGCUUACCAAGGCUACGAUCUGUAACCGGUCUAAGAGGACGGUCGGUCACACUGACACUGAAUAACGGGUCAGACUCCUACGGGAGGCAGCAGUCGGGAAUUUUGGGCAAUGGGCGAAAGCCUGACCCAGCAACGCCGCGUGAGGGAUGACGGCCU
rnacentral:rRNA from 1 species